CUAUCCAGUCAAUAAGGCCAGCAGACCAGGUUUGGAGCUCUGCUCAAAAAGUGCUGAUUUGAAGCACUAUCAUUAUGUGACCAUCUGGCAGUUUCCUGGAAAACUAUCAUUUGAAGGACCCAUUAUUUGACCUGACUCAGCAACUCACUGGGGAAAGCCUUAUUCCCAGGGAAUGUGCCUAAAUCAGUCAGUGACAACUAUACAACAUGUAACAUUGCAGCUGCCUGAGGCUGCAAUACCAGUUGAGGGGUCAUGAAACAUCUACUUCAAGAGUUGUUAUGCUGAUUAAAUGCAAUUAUGAAGCUCCUGAACCAGCAGUCCUUCCCGGCACAGGUUUGAACUCCUUCUUAUCAGUUGCUAGUCCAGCUUUCUUACCAUGUACCAGCUCUACUUUUUCUGAACAUUCUUUGAUCUGGAAAAUGAAAGUGAGAUGAACACGUAAGUCCAACUUUGAAACAUAACAAUGCAGUACUAACUUACCCUAUCAAGCUUGAGUUUGUCUACAUCGGCUAAGAAUGGGUUGACUGCUUUCUCACCAACCACCUUCAAAGCGGUACCCAAGGCUUCAAAUGCAGCAUCUCUGACUUCAGGAGCGGAAUCAUUGAUGUGCUAUACUCCGGAACCCAACAGCCAGGCCAGUAAGACAUUUUGCUGCCAGAGCUACCAACAUGACAUUGGUGUCCUUUCCAACAACCUACAAUGGAAGAAAAAGGAAAACAAGACAGUCACAACUGUGUAGAAGAGUACUGAAAAACAUUCUCAAAAGAACUCUGAAAGCUACUGUGCUAAUGGAUGAUCCAUCUUAUUUCCUAUAAAAGAGGAAACCUUAUUCCUCUUUGAUAAUAAUGAAUCUAGAAGCCUUUGUCAUGUUCAGUCUAUCUUUAAGUUCUACAUAAAGCACACAUAAAACAACUUCAAAUCGCUUGACACAGGUGGCAAUUUGGGCUGUCACCAUCACACAGCUGCAGGAGGUGACUCAGAUAACGGCGAUGCUGCAGGUUUACUUUUGGAACAAGAAAAUUAAAAAAGUGUACUUAACACCACAGGGCCCAAAGUAGGUAACUACAAUGUCUAAUAUUUAUACUCAUGAAGUACCAACAGAAACUUUGAAGUUCAGAACUCAAAAUUUCAAAUGCAUCUGAGGGAGUGCCUAGCUUUGGAGCUGCCACUGUAGUCAUACAAGGACAGUCAUAUAACCUCUGAGAAAUGGAAAGCCCACAGAAUACUGAAAAAAAGACAGUUUUAAAAAUAAUUUCAGAAAUCCAAAAGGAAUUUCAAAAUAAGUUUUUUACUGUUUACACUAGAAGAAAAAAAUGGGAAAUUAAUUAGAUUACUUGAUUUAGAUAACAGAGAGAAAACAAUAUUAACUGUAGGAGGAGGAAUCAAGUCUGUAUCUUAAUUCCUUAAUAUCAUUCUUUUUUUUUUUUUGUAGUACCAGGGAUUGAACUCAGGACUUGUGAGGCAGGCACAGCACCACUGAGCUAAAUCCCCAGCCCUCUUAAUAUCAUUUUUUUCUUCCCAUUUUCCCAUUUUUGAUAUGCUGCUGUGAAGUCAACAUAAUAUGAAGUUUGCAUAUUUGUGUGUGCACCUAAGUAAAAUCAAAUAUAAAUAUUGCGAUGUCAUGGUUCAGAUUAAUUCACACAAUGAUGAAAUUAAGUUUUCAUCAUUUUAAAUAUUUUAGCCACAAAAUUAACUUUCUUUUUACUUGCAGCUUUUGACUGAUAAAGUUUCUACAGCUGCCUAGAUUUCUCAGGUAUCUACUGACUAUGUCUACUCAGACUAUGUCAUGGGCUGGAGCUGUAACUCAGUGGUAGACCAUGUGCUGAGCAUACUCGAGACCCUGAGUUUGAUCCUCAGUACCACAAAUAAGGAGAGGAAAAAUAAGAAUAAGAAAAAGAAAAAGGAAACCAACAGUUCCCUUUGUAUGCAACACAGUGAGAUUACAGUUAUAGUCACAAUGCCAACAGAAAUCACAGAACUGUCUUUGAAAAGCUAACAACCUAAAAAAAAUGUGUAUAGAGAAUACCCAUUCCUAUUAAAGACAAAAAUAAAAAGCUAUUUCCUGUUUCUUAGUGUCCUCUUCCUCUCUCCUUCCCAUUCUUUCCUCCAGAUCUCAGGUCGCUAACUCCUUUUCCCUCAGGGAAAUUGUUUUUUUAAUUAAUCAUGUCUAUGGCCCUUUAAAAUACAAAAUUGGUGAAUGAACAAAGAUCUGACAAAUCAUAUCCUUGCCAUCAAGUCCCAUUUGGAGGAAAGCAUAGGAAAGUCAACUACUACAGUAUUAGGA
rnacentral:lncRNA from 1 species